rfam:Pseudopelagicola gijangensis strain DSM 100564 genome assembly, contig: Ga0131178_113
AGAUCGGGAGGCUUCCAUCGGGACGGAAGCCAGGAAUUGAUCGAACUUGUGUCGUCUCGGAUGGGCGUGGUGCUGGGGCCCGACAGCAUGCGCG